AUUUCAAUGUAAAACAAAAUUUGAUCAAAUCAUCACGAUAAAUUCAAUUCGAUUCAAUUCAUAGGCGAAACGUUCACAGGUAUCCCUUUUUCCUUACUUAUCGACCGAGACAUAUCGUCAAUCUCUUAUCGCGAUACACCACCUUUGAACGUUAAGCCUUUGCCAUAAUCGAUCAUAUUACGUUUUGUCUUUGUAAAAAUAUCCAUUUUUUUUUUUCCUUCUCGUGAAAGACUCUCUUUAAACCGGUACAGUCUCGUAAUUAUAAUCACGUUCGUGCCUCAUUUCCAAUCGAAAUUAUCAAUUAAAACGUGACACGAACGCGAACACGACAAUACUUCGUAUCUUUUCCUUUGACUCUGGUUAAACGCGGAGAAUUUUGAUAAGAUGCACACGCGUUUUUUUUUUUUUUUUUCCGCUAAUAAAUUCGUCCGCUUUAAAGAUCGCGAUGUUACAAUUUCAUCGUGAUUCAUCGAAUCGAAGCAUGCUCGAUCGUUGAGUGUAUAUAACUGGCAAGUGAAUAUAUUGGAAUUCUAUGUUUGAUCCUUUGCUUGCAAAAUACGUGAUAGUAUUUCUCUUUUCUUUUCUUUCUUUCUUUUUUUUUUUUUUCUUUUCUUUCGAAACAAUUAAACAGCUGCAAUCGGGGUUUUCUACGGAUGCGUGUGCUGUAAGUAGCAUACGAGGCAUGCUUGAUAAAUCUUUCAUUAUAUCGUUUAAAAAAAGUGAUAUAAUACGUAUUCGUUCUAAACCAUGAUCAUCCGAUGAUUGGUGCGGCGCAUUCGAAAGGAGAAACAUGCAGUGCCAAGGUGAGAAGAUGUGGCGUGUAAUAUAUUUUAUGCAUGCAAUUUAAUUUCUUCUACUUGAACUAUAGCGUGCGUGUCGAAAUGAUAGAGUACGAUGAAUCAGAUUUGCUGAAAUCAGAAGCGUGUUGCAGCGUGUGGGCGUAUGCGAUGUACGCGCGUGAAAAUUAAUAAUCAUGUCCGACUUUCGAUUAGACUUUUGCAAGUAUAAACAAGAUCUGAAAAAAUAUAAAAUUUAACUUGCGGAAAAUGAAUUGGUCCGAUAGUUCCUACGUUGAACGGGUGGGUGAACGUAUAUAUGGGGUUUUAAAAUUGUGCGAGAUUAUUUUGUGAUUCGGAAAUAUUUGAACUUCGGAAUGGAUCGGAAUAAUUCGGGAGAAAUCGGAUUUUCGUAAAAUAUUUGAGACGUAAGCACGAAUUGAGUUCGGCAAUAAUCGGGUAUGAUCGGCUCGAGAGUCCGAAAUCCAAUUAAUAAGGCGCUUAGCCGAUCACGAACGAUUAUUGCCGAAGAGAUCCGAAAGUAUACGAGCACAUAUCGAGAUUUUUCCCGAUCUCGUCCGAAUUUUUCCGAUCCGUUCCGAAUCUAUUACAAAUGUCGUUUGAAUGAAAAGAUGCCCACCCUGUUGUAAAAAAAAAAAUUUGGGCCAAAUGCAUCGUGCCGUUAUGCAAUAUUAUGCGAUUAUCUUGAACAUUUUCAUUUUUUUCAACUGAAAAUAUCCAUAGAAGAAGGGAGAACGAAAAAAAUAUUUAGCGACAAACGAAAGGAUUAUUCCUUCAUCGUCUCUUUGUGUUUGCUUUUAUAAACAAUUGUACAAAAUGUAUCGCUACUGCUGCAUUCCUAAAAAUCAGUGCAGUUACACAAUGUUCACAAAUUGACUUUUACGUAGGUAAAAAUGUGUCUUAUCACAAAUGUAUAUUUGCACGCAUGUGUACAUAAUGUGUAAUGUGUAAUUGUAAAUUUGUCGCUGCACGGGAGAACAAGAUAUCCGAACGAAGCGAAACGCUCGUAACUGAUAAUCUUUCUUCCAUGCUGAUGCGACAACAUUCGUGACUGAUUCCACGAGCGGAGAGCAUCUCCGAUCGCUUCGACAAAGUGUGAAAACAAGGCAGGGCAGCUUGAUAACUUUUCCAAAUUUAUUCUCGAGCCAAUCGACUUUUCGAUCGAUAUUUCGCUAUGAGUGCAACGUUUAAUAUUUUAAACCAAUCGAGAGUAUAUUGGGACGCAUGCGCUAUCCGCAUCGAAUAGGAACUUUUUCGAAUAGGAUUGGCUGGCCUGCCCCGCUUGGAACUGUUGUUGUGUUCAAGUCUUGAGAUCAUCGAUCAACUAUAAUGGUGACAUAACGGCGAGACACAUGAGACUUACUUGACUCUUGGCCCGUCUGCGGUGGCGACGUUAUUCGGGGGUCGAAACACCACGCGCUGGGUCUCGCCGCGGCUAGAAAUAUACUAAUAUAGGCAUGCCGCGGGUAUUUCACCACGAGUUUAACCCCUUGUGGUCGGAUUCGACGCGACCAAAUUUUCAAACGAGCGUACUCCUCGUUUCGUUUUGAUACAACUUUUAGAAGAGAAACUUUAAUAGUAAAUAAAAAUAGGAUUACGAGUCUCGUAUUAGAUUAUAUAUAAUAUUGUACGAAUUAUAAUAGGCAUAAGUUUAAGAGGAAAGACAAGGAAGAAAGAUAUAAUUGAUUGACUUCUCAAAAAUUAUCCACGACCGCAAAGGGUUAACCUUUCAACCGAUGACGUGAGUGAUUAAUAUUUUAGAUAUUUGAAAAAUCUAUAUUGUCAUUUGUUUAAUUAUCCUUUUAUUAUAUAAUUUCUCUGACUUUUCCUUAAUAUUCAUCAAUAUAUAUUUGACAUAUAUAUCAAUAGAAAAUAAAAACAGUUGUUCCCAUCUUUGUUUCUUCAAAGAUGAUAAACUAAUUCUUGUCUAUCUUCUUUACUAUUGAAGUAUAAGAUUGAGAAAAGAAUAUCCAUCCUUAAUCCUUUCACGUCACUGGUCGAAAGUUAAAGGUGUCUAGCAAACGCGCAGUGGACGGUGUCGGUAUUUCUCGGAUUCUCUUAUCUCGUCGACGAGUCUUCCUCUCCUUUUCUCUCGAAUAAUAAUACGACACGAAUAAUAAAAAUAUAUAGAGAAAGAAUCGCUCGAGUAUUUCUGUUCGAUGAACAAUUUUCAAAAAUUUUGUUACAUUUAUAUAAUUAUAUAAUUUUGUUAAUUAAAUUAUAUUAUUAUAA